AGAACAUCUUGGCUCUUGGCUUGCCAAGAGUUCUUGGCCAGAAAUGCAGCUUGUUGAGGGCAAUUCAUUUUAUCUGAUUAACAGUAACUGCAAUCUAGGCAGGAUGGAGGGCCUGGGAGGCUAUCACGGAAAUAUGGUAGCAGAAUUCAAAAUUAAGGCUGGUCCCAGGCAGGAAGGACAUGCAGGCCCAUGGCUGCAGCCGUCAGAGUGGUGGCCUGACCCCAGGCUGCCCCUGAGGCUCUCUGUUCUGCAUUUCCUGAGUCAGCAGGACCGGGCAGUGAGCGGGUAUUGGGGGGGCUGUGUCGGCAGCUGCUGUAAGUUCUGGAAUCAGAAAGCUUUCCUGACUUUUCCCUCUUGUUCACCUUUAGGCAGAACAACUCAUCCGAGGUCACAUCACUCCUGUGUCUGAGCCCGGGCUCUUCAGGGGAAGACGGGACCAAGUGAUUUUCUCUUAAUUUUCCCUGGAAGCAUAAGAAGUGUCUGGGAAGUUCAUCCUCGUUGCUGCAUGUAUCUGGGACUCAUUUCUUUAUAUUGCUGAGAGGGAUUCCAUCCUUGUGUCCAGAGGAAAAUGGAAUCUUUGAAAGUCUUCGAGAGACAAUGGAAGUAACCACCUGUUUUCUCAGCUGGGAUUUAUGCCAAGAAUGUAGAAAAGACUGUGUCUGGAGAGUGUGGGUGGAUUCACAUGAAGAUGCUGUUCAGACUCUCAACAAACCU